rnacentral:rRNA from 1 species
GAUGAACGCUGGCGGCGUGCCUAAUACAUGCAAGUCGAGCGAACGGACGAGAAGCUUGCUUCUCUGAUGUUAGCGGCGGACGGGUGAGUAACACGUGGAUAACCUACCUAUAAGACUGGGAUAACUUCGGGAAACCGGAGCUAAUACCGGAUAAUAUUUUGAACCGCAUGGUUCAAAAGUGAAAGACGGUCUUGCUGUCACUUAUAGAUGGAUCCGCGCUGCAUUAGCUAGUUGGUAAGUUAACGGCUUACCAAGGCAACGAUGCAUAGCCGACCUGAGAGGGUGAUCGGCCACACUGGAACUGAGACACGGUCCAGACUCCUACGGGAGGCAGCAGUAGGGAAUCUUCCGCAAAGGGCGAAAGCCUGACGGAGCAACGCCGCGUGAGUGAUGAAGGUCUUCGGAUCGUAAAACUCUGUUAUUAGGGAAGAACAUAUGUGUAAGUAACUGUGCACAUCUUGACGGUACCUAAUCAGAAAGCCACGGCUAACUACGUG